rnacentral:rRNA from 1 species
GGGUGCGAUCAUACCAGGACUA